rnacentral:tRNA from 1 species
CGGAGCGUGGCGCAGCUUGGUUAGCGCGCGGCACUGGGGGUGCCGAGGUCGGUGGUUCAAAUCCACUCGCUCCGACCA